CAAGUCGAACGCGAAAGUGGAGCAAUCCAUGAGUAGAGUGGCAAACGGGUGAGUAACGCGUGGGCGACCUACCUUCGAGCGGGGGAUAACCUUCCGAAAGGAGGGCUAAUACCGCAUGACAUCCCGUGUUUGGAUACACGGAGAUCAAAGCCGGGGAUCGUAAGACCUGGCACUUGAAGAGGGGCCAACGUCCGAUUAGCUAGUUGGCGAGGUAAUGGCUCACCAAGGCUCCGAACGGUAUCCGGCCUGAGAGGGCGGACGGACACACUGGAACUGAGACACGGUCCAGACUCCUACGGGAGGCAGCAGUGGGGAAUUGUUCACAAUGGGCGCAAGCCUGAUGACGCAACGCCGCGUGGAGGAUGAAGACCUUCGGGUCGUAAACUCCUUUCGACCGAGAUGAAUUCCUCACGACCUAACACGUCGUGAGGGUGACAGUAUCGAGGGAAGAAGCCCCGGCUAACUCUGUGCCAGCAGCCGCGGUAAUACAGGGGGGGCGAGCGUUGUUCGGAAUUACUGGGCGUAAAGGGUUUGUAGGUGGCUUGUUAAGUCAGACGUGAAAUCCCUCAGCUUAACUGGGGAACUGCGUCUGAUACUGAUGAGCUUGAGUGCAGGAGAGGAACGCGGAAUUCCAGGUGUAGCGGUGAAAUGCGUAGAUAUCUGGAGGAACACCGGUGGCGAAGGCGGCGUUCUGGACUGCAACUGACACUGAAAAACGAAAGCCAGGGGAGCAAACGGGAUUAGAUACCCCGGUAGUCCUGGCCCUAAACCAUGAAUGCUUGGUGUGGCGGGUAUCGAUCCCUG
rnacentral:rRNA from 1 species